rnacentral:rRNA from 1 species
GUCCUAGCCGUAAACGAUGGACACUAGGUGUUGGUGGUAUCAACCCCACCAGUGCCGAAGCUAACGCAUUAAGUGUCCCGCCUGGGGAGUACGGCCGCAAGGCUAAAACUCAAAGGAAUUGACGGGGCCCCCGCACAAGCAGCGGAGCGUGGGGUUUAAUUCGAUGCAACGCGAAGAACCUUACCAGGGCUUGACAUGACCAGGAAUCCGGCGGAAACGUCGGCGCCCCGCAAGGGGCCUGGCCACAGGUGUUGCAUGGCUGUCGU